rnacentral:rRNA from 1 species
GACGAACGCUGGUGGCGUGCCUAAUACAUGCAAGUAGGACGCAGUUGCGAACGGGUGAGUAACGCGUAGGUACCUACCUAUGAGUGGGUGAUAACUAUUGGAAACGAUAGCUAAUACCGCAUACUAGUAGAUGGAACUGCGUUGUAUUAGCUAGUAGGUGGGGGAAUGGCCUACCUAGGCAAUGGUACAUAGCCUGCCUGGGAGGGUGAUCGGCCAACCUGGGACUGGGACAACGCCCAGACUCCUUCGGGAGGCAGCAGUAGGGAAUCUUCGGCAAUGGGGGGAACCCUGACCGCGCAACUCCGCGUGAGUGAAGAAAGUUUUCGGAUCGUAAAGCUCUGUUGUUAAGGAAGCGGUACUUAACCAGAAAGGGACGGCUAACUACGUGCCAGCCGCCGCGGUAAUUC